UUUUUGGUAGCGAGCCUUAGUUCGCGGGACUGGGUGGACCCAACUCUGUAGCUUGGAGCCAGGAGAAGAUCAAGGCUAGGAUCGGGGGGGUGUCUGGGAGUCGUAUUGCCUACUCUAUUAGUAUUUCUUUAUUACCCUUUUCCUGUGAGUGUAAGACUUGUACUCUGACUGUAUCUGUGUUUUGGAAACUGUUGGGGUGUAUUUGAAUUCUGUAGGGCUUCUAAAGCCUAUACUUGUAGUAUUUCAGUUUCUGGUAUUCCAUUUGUGCUUUUUGUUUUAUAUUUUUAUCAGUUUGUUAGGGUUGACUCUGACCAGGUCAAAUCUGAGGCCUUGCACCCAGUGGGACCCAGUCCCAAUGGAUGUGGCCGAUCUGUCCAUGGGCCCGGCUGUGAGGCUGGGACGUGACAGCUAACUUGGGAGUUCUUGGUUGAGUUCUCUGGUGAUCUCCUUGUGGCUAUUUCUAGACUUAAUAGUGGACACGAGUAUGAGUUCUUGAAAGUGGAUUUUGAGAAUGGAUUGCUCCAGAUUUUGCCUGAGAUCGGCGAACAUGUGCUUUUCUUGGGAGAUAGUCUCCCGGUGUUCGUUCCACCAGAGAGAUUGUUGGAUUUCCAUCCUUUUCUCUGUUACCUCCCUGAAAACGUUGAUGCAUUCUCUGUCUAUGAUAGUUCUCAUCAUGGGCGUAUUAUGUCCAUCAUAAGGAAGGAUCAUGGUCAACAUAGGGUAGCCGCUGGUUGGAUUACUCCAGUUCUGAAUAAGUCUUUGGAAUGAGGUUGUUGAGGGAUACAUAAAAUGGUUACUUCUUUAAUUGAGUGAUGAUCAUCUUGAGCGGCUAAAGAUUCUCAAGGCUCUGUUUCUUAAAGAUAGUCCUGCUGGAUGGGUUGUAUAUAU